GUAGUCUCGCACAGAUGCAUAUCAAUAAGCGGAGGAAAAGAAACUAACAAGGAUUCCCCUAGUAACGGCGAGUGAAGCGGGAAGAGCUCAAAUUUGAAAUCUUAAAGGGUUUCCCUUUACGAAUUGUAGUUUAAAGAAGUGUUUUCUGUUGAGGUUUUGGUAAAAGUUCUUUGGAAUAGGACAUCAUAGAGGGUGAGAAUCCCGUAUUUGACCUUUACUUUCAACUUUGUGAUACACUUUCAAAGAGUCGGAUUGUUUGGGAAUGCAGUCCAAAAUGGGUGGUAAAUUUCAUCUAAAGCUAAAUAUUGGCGAGAGACCGAUAGCGAACAAGUACCGUGAGGGAAAGAUGAAAAGAACUUUGAAAAGAGAGUUAAACAGUACGUGAAAUUGUCAAAAGGGAAGCGUUUGACACCAGUGUUGUUUUUCUGAAAAUCAAUUAAAGAACUGUUUAUGCUAAGCUGUUUAGACUUUAUCAGCUAAUCUGUUUAGUUUUGAGCUUUUCUUUAAUGCACUUUUCAGUUAGCAAGUCAACAUCAAUUUCUUUUGCUGUAAAAAAGCUUGAGGAAGGUGGCUUGAGAUUCGUCUUAAGUGUUUAUAGCCUCUUGCCUAUGCAGUCGGAGAGAUUGAGGUCUGCAGCGUAGAUCCUUCGGGGCUAAAUGCAUUUGUGCUAAGUUAUAGCAUUUUAUAGACAACUUGUUGACUAUGAUUUGUCUUGUAGCUUACUCGCUUAUGUUAUUUUACCUACGCUUAGGAUGUUGAUCUGUAGUGCGUGCGC
rnacentral:rRNA from 1 species